CACUCUUGUCCAGAAAGACAUUCACCACUGU
rnacentral:piRNA from 1 species